rnacentral:lncRNA from 1 species
GGGAUUUCUCUCACUUUUGGCUAUUCCUUAUUCUCCAUCGUGAAUACUGCUUUGAGCGUCGGAGACUUAAUGGGAGGACGGAUUAUGUGUUUACUUUUCAGGUUGUCUCAUGUCCAUAAUGUUCAAACUAACUCUCCAGACUUCCUUAACAUAAAAAAUGUAACAUAGACAUUAGACACAGGCGUUUAGGGUUCUUUUACGUUCUGUUCAGGUUUGUAUCAUUUUUUUUUUGAAUUUUCGGUACUGUACUCAUAAAUCUUCUAAGAAUUUUUCUAAUUUGCGGGUGGGAUUAGCUAGGAUUGGUUCUUUCCGGGUUCAGUUCAGAUUGGGUUAUUACCAAUUUCUUAAACCGACCAACAAUCUUGAAAUAACUACUAAAAACUAACCAAGAAAUUCAAAAGUAUACAAAUUAUCCGAGAACCGAUAUAUAUCUUAUGUAUUUGAUUAGUUUCCCAAACAAAAAUAUAUAUCUACAAUUUAUAAUAAACUGACC